GACGAACGCUGGCGGCGUGCUUAACACAUGCAAGUCGAACGGAAAGGCCCUGCUUUUGUGGGGUGCUCGCGUGGCGAACGGGUGAGUAACACGUGAGUAUCCUGCCCUUGGCUGUGGGAUAUCCUCAGGAAAGUGGGGCUACUACAGGCUAGGAGCUCCUGCUGCUUGGUGGGGGUUGGACAGUUUCGGCGGUUGGGGAUCGACUGGCGGCUUAUCAGCUUGUUGGUUGGGUAGUGGCUUAGCGAGGCUUUGGCUGCUAGCCGGCCUGAGAGGGGGACCGGCGACAAUAGGACUGCGAGACGGCGCAGACUGCUACGGUAGGCAGCAGUGGGGAAUAUUGCACAAUGGGCGGAAGCCUGAUACGGCAACGCCGCGAUCGGGAUGACGGCCUUCGGGUUGUAAACCGCUUUCGCCUGUGACGAAGCGUGAGUGACGGUAACGGGUAAAGAAGCACCGGCUAACUACGUG
rnacentral:rRNA from 1 species